ACAACUCUAGACGGGGGAUCACUCGGCUCGUGG
rnacentral:rRNA from 1 species